rnacentral:lncRNA from 1 species
CAACUGACCUCUGUAGCUCAGUUGGUUAGAGCACUGUGCAAGAAUUACAGGGCCAUAGGUUCGAUUCCUGUCAGAGAGCCUAUAGUUUCCCCUGUGUGAGUAAAAUCAUCUGGCGUUAGACAGAGUAAAAUAAUAAAGUAGGGCGCAAUGCGACUCAAUGGGUUAAUAUUGAGCCAUUCUUACGUCUCCACAGUGAUAGAUCCACAGUGCAACCAUGGCCCGAGGACAACAGAAGAUUCAGUCGCAACAAAAGAAUGCUGAGAAACAGGCAAAACUAAAUAAAGGUGGACACGACCACAAGAAAGCGGCGAAGGUCGCUCUCGUCUUUACUUGUACCGUGUGCAAGUCACAGAUGCCAGAUCCCAAGACGUAUAAACAGCACUUUGAGAGCAAACAUCCCAAAUCAGCUCUGCCUGAAGAACUAAAGAGUGUUUAAAUUUCAGGUCAUAACAAGUUAGUAUACGUUCUGUAUAAUCACAUUGGAAUAAACAGCAAAUGCUUUUUGCCAUUGCCUUGUUCUCUUUAGUUGAAAUUUCAAAGGUAGGGGGGGGGGGGAUUUGCCCCCUCCUAGCCACUGUGCUGGAAUUAAUUUCAAACUUGUUUGCAAAUUGAAAAAGUUUUUGUUUUUUUCUAGAAUAUCUCGGGACAUACUGGCUACGGAACUGUUAUCAUACUUAAUUUCUAUCACGUACAUAAAACUGCCUAUCAUAUACAUAUUUCACUAAAACAGAAACUAAGGCACAUACUGUAUUGUGUAAAUGCGAUUUAUUUGAGGGAUUUUGAGUUUGUGUAAUGUACAAUAUUAUAUAUUUUAUUUAUGUACUUUAGUAUAGUUUAUUGGAAAAAUAUUCAUUUUACAAGAUUCUAUAUUUUGCUGUGAAUGUAUUUGUUGUAUAAAAAGAUGAAAUACUA